rnacentral:rRNA from 1 species
AACGAACGCUGGCGGCAGGCUUAACACAUGCAAGUCGAGCGAAGACUUCGGUCUUAGCGGCGGACGGGUGAGUAACGCGUGGGAACAUACCCUUUGCUACGGAACAGUCCCGGGAAACUUGGGCUAAUACCGGAUAAGCCCGAAAGGAGAAAGAUUCAUCGCCGAAGGAUCGGCCCGCGUCUGAUUAGCUAGUUGGUGGGGUAACGGCCCACCAAGGCGACGAUCAGUAGCUGGUCUGAGAGGAUGAUCAGCCUCACUGGGACUGAGACACGGCCCAGACUCCUACGGGAGGCAGCAGUGGGGAAUAUUGGACAAUGGGCGCAAGCCUGAUCCAGCCAUGCCGCGUGGGUGAUGAAGGCCCUAGGGUUGUAAAGCCCUUUCGGCGGGGAAGAUAAUGACGGUACCCGCAGAAGAAGCCCCGGCUAACUUCGUGCCAGCAGCCGCCGUAAAAC